rnacentral:rRNA from 1 species
UUGGAGGGCAAGUCUGGUGCCCGCAGCCGCGGUAAUUCCAGCUCCAAUAGCGUAUAUUAAAGUUGUUGCAGUUAAAAAGCUCGUAGUUGAAUUUUGGGUCUGGCCGGGCGGUCCGCCCUCCGGGUGAGCACUGUUCCGACGCCGGGCCUAUCCUUCUGGUGAGUCGGCAAGUCCUUUGUUGGGUGUGUCGGGGAACCGGGACCAUUACCUUGAAAAAAUUAGAGUGUUCAAAGCAGGCGCAUGCUCGGAUACAUUAGCAUGGAAUAACGAAAUAGGACGCGUGGGGCUAUUUUGUUGGUUUCUAGAACCGCCGUAAUGAUUAAUAGGGAUAGUUGGGGGCAUUAGUAUUCAAUUGUCAGAGGUGAAAUUCUUGGAUUUAUUGAAGACUAACUUCUGCGAAAGCAUUUGCCAAGGAUGUUUUCAUUAAUCAAGAACGAAAGUUAGGGGAUCGAAGACGAUCAGAUACCGUCGUAGUCUUAACCAUAAACUAUGCCGACUAGGAGUCGGGCGAUGUUAUUCUCAUGACUCGCCCGGCGCCUUAUGGGAAACCAAAGUGUUUGGGUUC